GACAGAGGGUGCUAGCGUUGUUCGGAAUUACUGGGCGUAAAGCGCGCGCAGGCGGCUCUGUAAGUCAGAAGUGAAAUGUCACUGCUCAACGGUGGCGCUGCUUCUGAUACUGCGGAGCUAGGGAUCGGUAGAGGCUGGUAGAAUUGCAGGUGUAGCGGUGGAAUGCGUAGAGAUCUGCAAGAAUACCCGUGGCGAAGGCGGCCAGCUGGGCCGUAUCCGACGCUGAGGCGCGAAAGCGUGGGGAGCAAACAGG
rnacentral:rRNA from 1 species